rnacentral:rRNA from 1 species
UACGUAGGGUGCGAGCGUUGUCCGGAAUUAUUGGGCGUAAAGGGCUCGUAGGCGGUCUGUCGCGUCGGGAGUGAAAACUCAGGGCUUAACCCUGAGCCUGCUUCCGAUACGGGCAGACUAGAGGUAUGCAGGGGAGAACGGAAUUCCUGGUGUAGCGGUGAAAUGCGCAGAUAUCAGGAGGAAUACCGGUGGCGAAGGCGGCAUCCUGGACCGACAUUGACGCUGAACGGCGAAAGCUAGGGGAGCAAACGGG